GACGAACGCUGGCGGCGUGCUUAACACAUGCAAGUCGAACGGAAAGGCCCUGCUUUUGUGGGGUGCUCGAGUGGCGAAAGGGUGAGUAACACGUGAGUAACCUGCCCUUGACUUUGGGAUAACUUCAGGAAACUGGGGCUAAUACCGGAUAGGAGCUCCUGCUGCAUGGUGGGGGUUGGAAAGUUUCGGCGGUUGGGGAUGGACUCGCGGCUUAUCAGCUUGUUGGUGGGGUAGUGGCUUACCAAGGCUUUGACGGGUAGCCGGCCUGAGAGGGUGACCGGCCACAUUAGGACUGAGAUACGGCCCAGACUCCUACGGGAGGCAGCAGUGGGGAAUAUUGCACAAUGGGCGGAAGCCUGAUGCAGCAACGCCGCGUGCGGGAUGACGGACUUCGGGUUGUAAACCGCUUUCGCCUGUGACGAAGCGUGAGUGACGGUAAUGGGUAAAGAAGCACCGGCUAACUACGUG
rnacentral:rRNA from 1 species